rnacentral:misc_RNA from 1 species
AAGAGUUCUAUAACUCCCAAACCCAUGUGAACAUACCCAACGUUGCCUCGGCAGGUCGCGCUUACCUCGUAGCCCCUACCCCGGUAGGGGCUACCCGGGAGGUGCGGGUAAGCCUGCCGGCGGCCCACCAAACUCUGUUUGAUAUUGAAUUCUGAACGUAUAACUAAAUAAGUUA